UACGUAGGGUGCAAGCGUUGUCCGGAAUUAUUGGGCGUAAAGGGCUCGUAGGCGGUUUGUCGCGUCGGGAGUGAAAACAUCGGGCUUAACUCGGUGCUUGCUUUCGAUACGGGCAGACUUGAGGCAUGCAGGGGAGAACGGAAUUCCUGGUGUAGCGGUGAAAUGCGCAGAUAUCAGGAGGAACACCGGUGGCGAAGGCGGGUCUCUGGGCCGAUACUGACGCUGAGGAGCGAAAGCGUGGGGAGCGAACAGG
rnacentral:rRNA from 1 species